rnacentral:rRNA from 1 species
AUUGAACGCUGGCGGCAUGCCUUACACAUGCAAGUCGAACGAGUGUAGCAAUACACAAGUGGCGAACGGGUGAGUAAUGCAUCGGAACGUAUCCUAUUGUGGGGGAUAACGUAGCGAAAGUUACACUAAUACCGCAUAAGACCUGAGGGUGAAAGCGGGGGAUCUUCGGACCUCGCGCGAUAGGAGCGGCCGAUGGCGGAUUAGCUAGUAGGUGGGGUAAAGGCUUACCUAGGCGACGAUCCGUAGCGGGUCUGAGAGGAUGAUCCGCCACACUGGGACGGAGACACGGCCCAGACUCCUACGGGAGGCAGCAGUGGGGAAUUUUGGACAAUGGGCGCAAGCCUGAUCCAGCCAUGCCGCGUGAGUGAAGAAGGCCUUCGGGUUGUAAAGCUCUUUCGGACGGAAAGAAAUUGCUUCGGAUAAUACCUGGAGUAGAUGACGGUACCGUAAGAAGAAGCACCGGCUAACUACGUGCCAGCCGCCGCGGUAA